ensembl:antisense Gm13175 predicted gene 13175
GAGGCAGAGCAGCACCCAGCACCUCAAGUUCAGUGUCCCAGCUCUCACUGCUCUGCUGAGGCUGUGAGGUCGUUUGUCAUCACCGUACAGUGCUGCAUCAUGCCUGACUCUGUCACUGUAUCUUCAUAAGGUCUGGGGCCAUUGAUGGCAUCAACAUCUUAAUUUCUCCAAUCUUGCAGAGGAAGACACUAUUCCACCUUGACAUGAUAGUGACUGAGGAACUACAGCAUUCUGAAAGGGAAUUGUAGAAGAGGGCAUUGUCCCAGAAUCAGGGAACAGCCACUGAAACUGGAGUCUUGAAAUUGGUUCUCCAUGGCACAUGUGGAAGUCUUUGAUGAGGCCAAGGUGUUUGCAUGGUCACUGUCAUAUGUUAUGACAGCUAGAAGUGUCCAGGAGUUAAGGGUUAUUAGAGGGUGUACGUUGCAAAGGUGUGGAGAUGAAGAAUAAAGGGGAAAUUGUUUUUGCU